GUCCUGUUCGAUUAGUUGGUUAAAUCAUCUCGUUGUGGUUCUCAGCUCCGAGAAGCCGGAAGUUCGAAUCCUCCACAGGACA